UACGUAGGGGGCUAGCGUUGUCCGGAUUUAUUGGGCGUAAAGAGCGUGUAGGCGGCCAGGUAGGUCGGUUGUGAAAACUAGAGGCUUAACCUCUAGACGUCGACCGAAACCAUCUGGCUAGAGUCCGGAAGAGGAGAGUGGAAUUCCUGGUGUAGCGGUGAAAUGCGCAGAUAUCAGGAAGAACACCCGUGGCGAAAGCGGCUCUCUGGGACGGUACUGACGCUGAGACGCGGAAGCGUGGGGAGCGAACAGG
rnacentral:rRNA from 1 species